GACGAACGCUGGCGGCGUGCUUAACACAUGCAAGUCGAACGGAAAGGCCCUGCUUGCAGGGUACUCGAGUGGCGAACGGGUGAGUAACACGUGGGUGAUUUGCCCUGCACUUCGGGAUAAGCCUGGGAAACUGGGUCUAAUACCGGAUAGUAGCCAUUUUUAGUGUGAUGGUUGGAAAGUUUUUUCGGUGUAGGAUGAGCUCGCGGCCUAUCAGCUUGUUGGUGGGGUAAUGGCCUACCAAGGCGGCGACGGGUAGCCGGCCUGAGAGGGUGGACGGCCACAUUGGGACUGAGAUACGGCCCAGACUCCUACGGGAGGCAGCAGUGGGGAAUAUUGCACAAUGGGCGCAAGCCUGAUGCAGCGACGCCGCGUGGGGGAUGACGGCCUUCGGGUUGUAAACUCCUUUCGCUAGGGACGAAGCUUUUUGUGACGGUACCUAGAGAAGAAGCACCGGCUAACUACGUG
rnacentral:rRNA from 1 species